GAUGAACGCUGACAGAAUGCUUAACACAUGCAAGUCAACUUGAACUUCGGUUUGGGUGGCGGACGGGUGAGUAACGCGUAAAGAACUUGCCUCACAGUUAGGGACAACAUUUGGAAACGAAUGCUAAUACCUGAUAUUAUGAUUUUAGGGCAUCCUAGAAUUAUGAAAGCUAUAUGCGCUGUGAGAGAGCUUUGCGUCCCAUUAGCUAGUUGGAGAGGUAACGGCUCACCAAGGCGAUGAUGGGUAGCCGGCCUGAGAGGGUGAACGGCCGCAAGGGGACUGAGACACGGCCCUUACUCCUACGGGAGGCAGCAGUGGGGAAUAUUGGACAAUGGACCAAGAGUCUGAUCCAGCAAUUCUGUGUGCACGAUGAAGUUUUUCGGAAUGUAAAGUGCUUUCAGUUGGGAAGAAAAAAAUGACGGUACCAACAGAAGAAGUGACGGCUAAAUACGUG
rnacentral:rRNA from 1 species